AGACCCGAAACCCGGUGAUCUAGCCAUGGGCAGGUUGAAGGUUGGGUAACACUAACUGGAGGACCGAACCGACUAAUGUUGAAAAAUUAGCGGAUGACCUGUGGCUGGGGGUGAAAGGCCAAUCAAACCGGGAGAUAGCUGGUUCUCCCCGAAAGCUAUUUAGGUAGCGCCUCGUGAAUUCAUCUCCGGGGGUAGAGCACUGUUUCGGCUAGGGGGCCAUCCCGGCUUACCAACCCGAUGCAAACUGCGAAUACCGGAGAAUGUUAUCACGGGAGACACACGGCGGGUGCUAACGUCCGUCGUGAAGAGGGAAACAACCCAGACCGCCAGCUAAGGUCCCAAAGUCAUGGUUAAGUGGGAAACGAUGUGGGAAGGCCCAGACAGCCAGGAUGUUGGCUUAGAAGCAGCCAUCAUUUAAAGAAAGCGUAAUAGCUCACUGGUCGAGUCGGCCUGCGCGGAAGAUGUAACGGGGCUAAACCAUGCACCGAAGCUGCGGCAGCGAACGUAUCACCCAAGACAACUUUACGGAGUUGACGAUUGACGGAGCGAAGCGACGUCAAAGCGUUCAUUAAAGUCGAGUUGGCUUAGGGAUACGUUCGUUGGGUAGGGGAGCGUUCUGUAAGCCUGUGAAGGUGUGUCGUGAGGCAUGCUGGAGGUAUCAGAAGUGCGAAUGCUGACAUAAGUAACGAUAAAGCGGGUGAAAAGCCCGCUCGCCGGAAGACCAAGGGUUCCUGUCCAACGUUAAUCGGGGCAGGGUGAGUCGACCCCUAAGGCGAGGCCGAAAGGCGUAGUCGAUGGGAAACGGGUUAAUAUUCCCGUACUUGGUGUUACUGCGAAGGGGGGACGGAGAAGGCUAUGUUGGCCGGGCGACGGUUGUCCCGGUUUAAGCGUGUAGGUGU
rnacentral:rRNA from 1 species